GCUCCCUCAGCUGCAGUGUCCCGCCACUCCCCGGUCCGUGAGGCGGGCGCAGGUGAAAGUUGCUUUGGAGAAAUUCGGUAAAAGGUUGUGGAGUCGUCCUAGAGAAGAUUUUGGGCUAUUACAGAGGUAAUACAGAGUGCUGAGCAGCAGCGUCAAAAGGGCAGCACGGUCUUUCAGUGGAGUUAUUGAGGAAAAAGCGUCUUGAACUUCGUCACCCUUACUGAGAAGCGAGGAAGAAGAAAGAAGAGACUGGAGUGGAACUUCGAGGCAAGAGAAAAGAAGAAGAGCAGCAGCAUAGAGCUAAAGAGUGGACCGGCGAGGCAAGAGCCAGGAAGAAGAGCGUCGGCUUCGCGCUCAAGAGGGGGCGGGAGAAGGGCCCUCUGGGCAAAGGCCCCUCCCUGGCAUGACCCGGGGCAGG